UACGAGAGGCCCAAACGUUAUUCGGAUUUACUGGGCUUAAAGAGUUCGUAGGCGGCGCGGAAAGUAGGGUGUGAAAGCCCUCGGCUCAACCGAGGAAUUGCGCUCUAAACUGUCGUGCUUGAGGAACCUAGAGGUGAGCGGAACUGAUGGUGGAGCGGUGAAAUGCGUUGAUAUCAUCAGGAACACCGGAGGCGAAGGCGGCUCACUGGGGGUUAUCUGACGCUGAGGAACGAAAGCCAGGGGAGCAAACGGGAUUAGAUACCCCCGUAGUCC
rnacentral:rRNA from 1 species